GCUCGUCAUUUGUGUACAUUCUGUGAAGAUGGCGCUUUUGCUGAAAGAUAAAGAGAACACCGAAUCUGGAUCAGCAUUGUGGGGAAUUUCAGCUCUGCCUUUGCCAUAUUCUUUCAGCAUCUGACAAAUCAUUACUUGCGUUGCACAUAUUUGUUUGAAACUGGGCUAACGACCCUGUGUGCAAGUCCUGCUGACCAUGGCUGACCAUACACCCCCUCUGGAGACCACCCAGCAUCUGAGCACCGACAUGCCCCUCCUGCCUCAGCCCCCUCCCCCCAUGGGGAAUGGAGAUGGAGCUCAACAGGUAAUCUUGGUCCAGGUGAACCCGGGUGAAUCCUUCACGAUAAGACGGGAGGAUGGUCAGUUUCAGUGUAUUACAGGUAAAUGCUGUUCAUCUGAAAAGA